UUCCCGUCCGAUCACCGGAGUUAAGCAAUGUCGAGCCUGGUCAGUAACGAGGUGAGUGACAGCUUGGGAAUACCUGGUGU